rnacentral:rRNA from 1 species
CACGAAGUUAGCCGGGGCUUCUUCUACGGUUACCGUCAUUAUCUUCACCGUUGAAAGAGCUUUACAACCCUAGGGCCUUCAUCACUCACGCGGCAUGGCUGGAUCAGGCUUUCGCCCAUUGUCCAAUAUUCCCCACUGCUGCCUCCCGUAGGAGUUUGGGCCGUGUCUCAGUCCCAAUGUGGCUGAUCAUCCUCUCAGACCAGCUAUGAAUCGUCGCCUUGGUAGGCCAUUACCCCACCAACUAGCUAAUCCAACGCGGGCUCAUCCAUCUCCGAUAAAUCUUUCUCCCGAAGGACGUAUACGGUAUUAGUCCAAGUUUCCCUGGGUUAUUCCGUAGAGAUGGGUAGAUUCCCACGCGUUACUCACCCGUCUGCCGCUCCCCUUGCGGGCGCUCGACUUGCAUGUGUUAAGCCUGCCGCCAGCGUUCGUUCUGAGCCAGGAUCAAACUCU